GAUGAACGCUGGCGGCGUGCCUAAUACAUGCAAGUCGAGCGAACGGACGAGAAGCUUGCUUCUCUGAUGUUAGCGGCGGACGGGUGAGUAACACGUGGAUAACCUACCUAUAAGACUGGGAUAACUUCGGGAAACCGUAGCUAAUACCGGAUAAUAUUUUGAACCGCAUGGUUCAAAAGUGAAAGACGGUCUUGCUGUCACUUAUAGAUGGAUCCGCGCUGCAUUAGCUAGUUGGUAAGGUAACGGCUUACCAAGGCAACGAUGCAUAGCCGACCUGAGAGGGUGAUCGGCCACCUUGGAACUGAGACACGCUCCAGACUCCUACGGGAGGCAGCAGUAGGGAAUCUUCCGCAAUGGGCGAAAGCCUGACGGAGCAACGCCGCGUGAGUGAUGAAGGUCUUCGGAUCGUAAAACUCUGUUAUUAGGGAAGAACAUAUGUGUACGUAACUGUGCACAUCUUGACGGUACCUAAUCAGAAAGCCACGGCUAACUACGUG
rnacentral:rRNA from 1 species